rnacentral:rRNA from 1 species
CAGCCGCCACGGGAAUACGUAGGGCGCAAGCGUUAUCCGGAAUUAUUGGGCGUAAAGAGCUCGUAGGCGGUUUGUCGCGUCUGCCGUGAAAGUCCGGGGCUCAACCCCGGAUCUGCGGUGGGUACGGGCAGACUAGAGUGAUGUAGGGGAGACUGGAAUUCCUGGUGUAGCGGUGAAAUGCGCAGAUAUCAGGAGGAACACCGAUGGCGAAGGCAGGUCUCUGGGCAUUAACUGACGCUGAGGAGCGAAAGCAUGGGGAGCGAACAGGAUUAGAUACCCCUGUAGUCCCUGUCUCUUAUAC